AUGAACAUAGUUUACCCUAAAACUCUAAGCUGUGGACUUAGCAACAAGGCCUAGCCCCCUUUGUUCACC
rnacentral:tRNA from 1 species